AGGGUUCGGAUUCUGGCUCAGGAUGAACGCUGCGGCGUGCUUAACACAUGCAAGUCGAACGAGGGUUGCUGGUUGAAGUUUCGGAUGGAAACCGGUAAUUCCUAGUGGCGGACGGGUGAGUAACGCGUGGGGGAACCUGCCCCGCUCCCGGGGGGAGUACCAGCUGGAAACGGCUGUUAAUACCGCAUAAGCGCACAGUAUCGCAUGAUGCAGUGUGAAAAAACUCCGGUGGAACGGGAUGGCCCCGCGUCUGAUUAGCCAGUUGGCAGGGUAACGGCCUACCAAAGCGACGAUCAGUAGCCGGCCUGAGAGGGCGACCGGCCACAUUGGGACUGAGACACGGCCCAAACUCCUACGGGAGGCAGCAGUGGGGAAUAUUGGUCAAUGGGCGCGAGCCUGAACCAGCCAAAGUAGCGUGCAGGAUGACGGCCCUAUGGGUUGUAAACUGCUUUUAUACGGGGAUAAAGUGAGGGACGUGUCCCUUUUUGUAGGUACCGUAUGAAUAAGGACCGGCUAAUUCCGUGCCAGCCGCCGC
rnacentral:rRNA from 1 species